rnacentral:rRNA from 1 species
AUGGAUCUUCUCCAGUUUGUGCUUAACUUUAAAGGCACACCACCAUGGCUGAACUCGACGGCCAUUACCGCCCUUACGGACUGUUGGAGACCGCAGACACACUCUUUUCACCUUGCUCUUGGUGAGAUGACCGUUACUUUGGAGGAUAUUGCGAUGAUCUCCGGUCUUCCGAUCGAGGGCAGGGCUCUUACCGGGAAGGUGAGGUCUGAGGGGUGGCGACAAAGGGUUGCAGGUUUGGUUGGUGUUGAACCUCCCCCGUGA